rnacentral:rRNA from 1 species
GAUGAGCGCUGGCGGCGUGCCUAAUACAUGCAAGUCGAGCGAACAGACGAGGAGCUUGCUCCUCUGACGUUAGCGGCGGACGGGUGAGUAACACGUGGAUAACCUACCUAUAAGACUGGGAUAACUUCGGGAAACCGGAGCUAAUACCGGAUAAUAUAUUGAACCGCAUGGUUCAAUAGUGAAAGACGGUUUUGCUGUCACUUAUAGAUGGAUCCGCGCCGCAUUAGCUAGUUGGUAAGGUAACGGCCUACCAAGGCAACGAUGCGUAGCCGACCUGAGAGGGGGAUCGGCCACACGGGAGCUGAGACACGGUCCAGACUCCUACGGGAGGCAGCAGUAGGGAAUCUUCCGCAAUGGGCGAAAGCCUGACGGAGCAACGCCGCGUGAGUGAUGAAGGUCUUCGGAUCGUAAAACUCUGUUAUUAGGGAAGAACAAAUGUGUAAGUAACUAUGCACGUCUUGACGGUACCUAAUCAGAAAGCCACGGCUAACUACGUG